GGAUUAGAUACCCUGGUAGUCCACACCGUAAACGAUGUCUACUAGCUGUGUGCGAAUGUAUAUUUGUGCGUAGCGCAGCCAACGCGAUAAGUAGACCGCCUGGGGAGUACGGCCGCAAGGUUAAAACUCAAAUGAAUUGACGGGGGCCCGCACAAGCGGUGGAGCAUGUGGUUUAAUUCGAUGCAACGCGAAGAACCUUACCUACACUUGACAUACCAAGAAUUUAUCAGAGAUGAUUUAGUGCCUUCGGGAGCUUGGAUACAGGUGCUGCAUGGCUGUCGUCAGCUCGUGCCG
rnacentral:rRNA from 1 species